UAGAAAUCUCUUUCAGUUAUUAACAAAAUGGAGUUUACAAACUGUGUUCAAGAAAUGGUGCUAAUUGUUUCAUGACUUAACUGCUGUUACAAAUAGAAAUAUGAGUUCAAGUAGUGGUGCUUCAAUAUUGUUAUGCCUAUACCUUCGAAAUGAUAUGCAAUACCAAUUAGUGUUAAUAAUAAACUCACCAUAGAUACCAGGAUUAUUUUUUAUACGUCAGACGCGUGAUGAUUUAAACCUGGUUUAUUUAGCGAAAAAGUAAAGUGUUCAGAACUAAGGAAGUGCGCUCCUCUUAUUAGAAUUUUGCUAGAUAUUUGGCAUCCUCUGGUUUUAUCCAUAAAGUGCCAUUAAAAAAUGACCUAUAAACCCCUACUUUUCCUUCCUAAAUUUUAUUACAUAAAGUUUAAAUGUUUUUUUUUAAAUAUUAUAAAAUCCAUGUUAUUUGUAUCGUUUUUUAAGCAAAAAAGGUGUCAAUGUUAAACGUAUGAAAAAUCAAGAAAAAAAUGAUUUUCUCGCCGAGUGUUCAAUGACUUAUAUCUCGAAAACAAGCACGU
rnacentral:lncRNA from 1 species